UACGAAGGGGGCUAGCGUUGUUCGGAAUCACUGGGCGUAAAGCGCAUGCAGGCGGAUUGUUAAGUCGGGGGUGAAAUCCCGAGGCUCAACCUCGGAACUGCCUUCGAUACUGGCAAUCUUGAGUCCGGGAGAGGUGAGUGGAACUGCGAGUGUAGAGGUGAAAUUCGUAGAUAUUAGGAAGAACACCGGUGGCGAAGGCGGCCAUCUGGCUCGGUACUGACGCUCAGGCGCGAAAGCGUGGGGAGCAAACAGG
rnacentral:rRNA from 1 species